UUAAAGAUUUAUUUAUUUAUUAUGUGUACAGGAGAGGGUGCCAGAUCUCAUUACAGAUGGUUGUGAGCCACCAUGUGGGUCUGGGAAUUGAACUCAGGACCUCUGGAAGAGCAGUCAGUGCUCUUAACCUCGGAGCCAUCUCUCCAGCCCCCGGUUCUCAACCUUCUUAAUGCUGCAACCCUUUCAUGUAGUUCCUCAUAUUGUGGUGACCCCAACCGUAAAAUUAUUUUCAUUGCUACUUCAUAACUCUAAUUCUGCUGUUCUGAAUCAUAAUGUAAAUAUUUUUGGAGUGAGAAGUUUCCCAAAGGGAUCACGACCCACUGCUCUAGAGCAAUCAUUGCCUAUACCUUGACCAGUGGAAAGCCUGAUGUGUGCUGAGACAGCACACACAGUUCACGCCAGGCAUGACACCCUCACUGUAGAGAGGUGAUUGAAGGCCCUGGCAGGUCAUAUCCAUGUAAAGGCUGGUUCUGCUUUAAGUCAGCUAUGGGAACUCAUGCCCACAUUUGGCCAGUUGAGAUCUGUAAAAUUCAAUGAUAACCAUCUCAGGCCCACAAGAUGGCUCAGUGGGUAGUAGUCUGAAGGCCUAACAACUUGAAUUUGAUCACCAGAUCCCAUUAGGUGGCAGGAGGUAAAGUUGUCUUUUGGCCUCCACAUGUGCUGUGGCAUGAGCGUGCCUACAUACACAAAACAAGUUUGUUUUUUUUCCAGAACGGUAACCAUCUCACAAGGAUGUGAAGACUCAGCACAGCAGUUCAGUCAUAGAGACAAAUCCACCCUGCAGCUAGAAAAGGCUCUGUAUUUCUUUCCACGGAUCAGCAUGAACACCCACACCAGAAAACCAGAUUUAAAAAAACAACAAAAAAAGAGGAGUGGUGAGGAGAAAGCAGCCCAAAUUCUGCACACCAGCACAAGAGACAUGAAUGACUAAGGCAAGGAGGCCCUUGAAAAAAUGCCAACAAGUCAAAGCCAUCAAGAAAAGCAGAUGGACAGCAAAUGGCUGGAGAAAGCGAGCCCAGAACUGGUGUAGCAAGCUUGGUCUCUGGCCCAAGAGAAGUUUGUUGCUGAAACCAGCCAGGAGCCCCAAGUACAGAAGAGCUUCUGAGGGAGCAGAGACUGCACGGCCGACUGCUCCCGGGAGCCCUGCCCGCUUUACUCCCUGUCAUGCAACAGGGGCUGGAAAGAAGGAAGAUGCACAGGGAUUAGAGACGUGACCGUGAAAGAGCCCCUGAACUUCAGGAGCUUCACCAGGCCUGAGCUGCUCAGACAGACCCUCACCCUGCAGGGGGAACCCAGCCAAGCCACCAGAUCUUCAGGGAAGCCCCCCAGUCCCCGAGACUGGUUCACAGCACAGCUUCCCACAUCUGCGAGAAGCCUCAGUGGCCAAGAACAGGCAAGCCCUGCCCUCAGCACCUGAUGUGUCGCUGAGCGCCCGUCCCACUAGUCUAGCCACAGAGCUAGCAGAACUCCACCAGGCUCAAGC